AGUGAACGCUGGCGGUAGGCCUAACACAUGCAAGUCGAACGGCAGCACAGUAAGAGCUUGCUCUUACGGGUGGCGAGUGGCGGACGGGUGAGGAAUACAUCGGAAUCUACUUUUUCGUGGGGGAUAACGUAGGGAAACUUACGCUAAUACCGCAUACGACCUACGGGUGAAAGCAGGGGAUCUUCGGACCUUGCGCGAUUGAAUGAGCCGAUGUCGGAUUAGCUAGUUGGCGGGGUAAAGGCCCACCAAGGCGACGAUCCGUAGCUGGUCUGAGAGGAUGAUCAGCCACACUGGAACUUAGACACGGUCCAGACUCCUACGGGAGGCAGCAGUGGGGAAUAUUGGACAAUGGGCGCAAGCCUGAUCCAGCCAUACCGCGUGGGUGAAGAAGGCCUUCGGGUUGUAAAGCCCUCUUGUUGGGAAAGAAAAGCAGCAGGUUAAUACCCCGCUGUUCUGACGGUACCCAAAGAAUAAGCACCGGCUAACUUCGUG
rnacentral:rRNA from 1 species